rnacentral:tRNA from 1 species
UAGCCUUGUGGAUAAGGCUUUGGAUCGUCAAUCCGGAGACGGCGGGUUCGAUUCCCGU